UUGAUGCCUGCCUGAUGCAGUAGCCUACGACUCGGGCUUUGAUGCCUGCCUGAGGCACGUACCUACACUCGGCUUGUUGAUUGCCUGCCGCUGAUGCACGGAGCCUACGACUCGGCUGUUGAUGCUGCUGAUGCACGUAGCCUACGACUCGGCUGUUGAUGCCUGAUGCACGUAGCCUAGAUGCAAUCAGAUUACUGGUUUCUAAAGUUAGCCAGCUCAGUUAGCUUCACAUUCCAGCUGAGGCCUCAUCCAUCAGAAAUACAGAACACAACAGAAAAAUCUCAAUGACUUGACAUGUUCUGGUUGUGAAUUCAGGCUACAAGGGGCCAGUGCUCUAAAAUGAGUCUCUCUGGGGAGAGAAGGAGGGGGCCCUGCCUCUAAAAUGAGUCCUCUCUGGGAGAGAGAGGAGGGGGUCCCUCAUCUAAAAUGAGUCUCUCUGGGGAGAGAGAGAGGGGGGGCCCUUUGCCUCUAAAAUGAGUCUCUCUGGGGAGAGAGAGGAGGGGGACCCUGCCUCUAAAAUGAGUGUCUCUGGGGAGAGAGAGGGGGUCCCUGCCUCUAAAAUGAGUCUCUCUGGGGAGAGAGAGGAGGGGGGCCCUGCCUCUAAAAUGAGUCUCUCUGGUGAACAUGACACCAAAGCUAAGAGGGGUCUGUGGAGGUACUGCAGGGGUUCUCAAUCCGGGGUCUGUGGAGGUACUGCAGGAGUUCUCAAUCCGGGGUCUGUGGAGGUACUGCAGGGGGUCCGCGGCACCCUGAGUGUACUCGAUGCAAUUCCAAUCAAGCAGGAGAGACCAGCCUCCCCUGUUCCCAGCUGUGUGUCCAUGAAGAGUGACGGUCUAUGGGAACCUCUAAGUUUAGAGAGGGAGACUUUUUCUGAACAAAGGUAAGAAGAACUCAUGGGUCCUGGUCAGUGAGUUAAACAACACUGUCUCUAUCAUUCUCCUCUCCCAUUUUCCAUUUAUUGUUGUUGUUUUCAUAUCCAUAGGCUAAUCCUUUUUUUCAUUUUCAUAGUCUUAAAACAAAUUAAAACAAACACAAAAUUCCCCUCCCCUGUGUGUGUGUGUGUUGUGGUGUGUGUGUGUGGUGUGUGGUGGUGUGGUGUGUGUGUGUGUGUUUGUGUGGUGUGUGUGUGUGUGUGUGUGUGUGUGUACUCCCUGGAUGAGGAGAUGUAAUCUCAUGUUUUGUCCACAGAAACCAACGAGAGAUCAGAGUCAGAGAUUCUCAGUGGUCAGUCUUCCCAGAGUCAUCAAAACAGACCUGGCCUCCAUAUUCAGUGUAUGUGGUCCUGUUAUGUACAUUUGUUUUUGUUUACCUAAGUAAAGUUGAUCUGUCAAUCAUUCAUUAUGUGUUAAUGAGAAAGCUUUUUCUCUUGCUUAAUCUUUACUUGAUUAUUCCAGGCUUGAAGAGAAAUAUUAUGACAUUGUGAAGACGAGCUGAAGAUGUUCAAGAGGAUUCUUAGUCCAGAACUCCCAGAAGGCUUGAGAGUCAGAAGCAGGAAGGUGGACCCUGAGAUGCGAAGGGAGAGCAGUGCCAGAGAGGGGGCUUGAAGAUCACACUGCACAUCCUGAGGAAACAAACCAGAAGGAGCUUGCUGACACACUGGAGCAAUGUAAGAUCUGUCUGCCUAUGAUGAUUAUGUUUUAUAACAUUUAAAAGCUGUAGCUAAAGUACAGCUAAAGUAGCUGUGUAACUCAAUGAUAUUGUAGCAGCCUUACUAUGCGGUCGACCGAUUAUGAUUUUUCGACGCAGAUACCGAACCGAUUA
ensembl:lncRNA